UUGACAUUUAAUUACCUUGUGAUUACUAAAGCGUUUAAUUUAGCUUUCUAUUCUUUCCUUACUUGAACAAAGGAACCCUGGGUGCAGUAACAAAGCCAUUUCAUCUCCUGGUAGCAGUACUCGGUUUGCUUCUGGUAUAUAUGGAAAGCUAAAUUUGCUCAGUGUUCCUACGUGAAAUACAGAAUAAAUAUUCACUAGGUUUUAAAAGCCAGUUCAGAAACUUCUGCUCCUUCCAUCACCACUUGGUCUCAUUGUGCCUCGCGCUGACUUCAUGGCACUGAUUUCAGGAGUUGCUCCUCUUUCUGUUACCGUGGGAGAAGAAUGAAGUUCAUCUCUUGCUUGUGCUGGAGGAGGCACUUUCAGAUCCGGCCUGCAGUGUUGCUCGGCUGUUUCGAGGCAAUGGCACAGUCCCAAUUCGUUGUCUUGCACCAACAGCGGUGCCAGCCUUCAAACCCACCUCCUGGAAAAUGAGAAGCUUCAAGGCUGCGCGUCCUCGUGCAUGGCAAGCCCUGAAGCCGAGCUCUUGCAGUCUAACCUUCAGGCCAGCCCUGUAUGGCAGUGUGAUUGACACAUCGCUAAUAGAGGAUUAUAACUUCAAAAUGAGGAUGAGCACUGGGAGCAGAUGAGUGUUUAAAUAACAAAGAGCCUCUUUUCAUGCAAAUGUCCCAAGCAAUAAAGAACAAAGAGAGAGGAUCUCAUCCCUCUCCUGCCCUCUGAGAGCCCGGGAAGUGGAAGCAAAUUGCUCCUGCACACCAGCCGAGGGUUUUGUUCUCCCCGGCAGCUGGGGGGGACGAUCCAACUCCUUCCAGCUCUCUAUCUCCCUCUCCAUGCUCUUCUGUUGAUCCAGCACUCGAUUUAUCCAUUCAUUUGGUAAUCUGGAAAGGUGCCCCCGCUUAAAGGUGUCUACCAGAAUGGAAAUAAUGUUUUUUGGAACGGACACGUUCGCCGUCACAACGGGAUUCUCUGCCCACACCCGACGUGAGCGAGCUGCCCCUGUAAGUGUUCUUGCUUGUUCUGCACGUGUGCGCUUGAAAUGGUGCUGGAGAGGGGGGGAAAUCAGUCAGGGUUUGAGUAAAAUUGAAGAGAGGUGGAGAGCUUCAGUGCGGGCAUCUGAAUCCCCUAGACAUCUCAGCUAAUCUCAGCCGUAAUCAUUAUCAGUAAACAUUUUGCUGUCGGGAGCAGGCCCUCCAUCCUUCUACUCUCACUGAUGCCAUUGACUUGAGUUCCUCAAGUGCUCCUCUCCGCUCUAGCAAGGUGCAGAGUUUGACUUGACUGCUGUGUCUGGUCACAGCUCUGCAACCCUUCUCCUGUCUGUGGGAUGUUUCCUCCAGCACCACCUGGACAGAAGAUCAGUUAGACGUGACUUGUAGAGCUAUCAAGUGAGAACAAAAGAGAUGCACACAUUCUGAGUGACGUGGAAGAGAAUAUUCCACAGCCAGAGGAGCUGCUCAGAGGCUGUGAACACGUGUGUGUGAUGGACCACCUGAAAGAUCACAAUCUAAGAGGGUCAGAAGGUGACACUAGAGCUGUGCUAGGGGAACGGCACUUUGCACAUGGUCACAACGCAGACCAGAGAAUGAUGGAUCCAAACAGUUUGUCUCCACUCCAGCCAGCUGCCCAGGACACGUCAGCCUCACUGAAACUCAACUCACAGCCUCAUAAAACGAUGAUGGGAAUCCUACCUGCCUGCAACACUGGGUCCCCAGCUCUACUCUGAUGGAAAGCAUCUUCCAAGCUGAACCAAGCCUGGCUGCAAAGCGUUUCUCUCUGAAAGACCCUGCUCUCUCUCCUGGCUCUCGUGAAUUAGAGGCAGCAGCGGAAUGGCAAUGAUCCACCUCCCUUCGAGCAUCCCUGCACGGCGCGGCGGUAAAAGCGGCUUAAUGUUCCGUGGGGCUCUGCCUGAGCACAGCAAAUAGCAAAGGUAAUGCGACGUUCCUGCUUGGGAGGAACAUCGAGAGGGGGAAAAAUACAGAAUGACCUUUUGUCUGUGAAAGUGAACGGCAGUGGGGUGUGCAGACAACUGGAACCCAAGAGGCAGAGGGGUCUUGGCCUGGUUACCUCUCCUAGUACAGAGCAGAAGGCUCAUCCAUCCCUCCAGGGCAGGGCUGAGGUUUGCCUUGUGUCCCUGUCCCCCGACUCUGCCUUAGCCAGGAACCAGGGCAGAGCACUGCUGAUGUGGCUGCACGAUUUCUGGAGUGCAGCUAGCUCGUUUUUGGCUAUCUCUGCAGGUGGAGCGAAUGCGUAAUGACUUUGCAGACAGAUGGUAAAAAAAAAAAAAAAAAAGGCUUGGUUUACUGUUUAUCCUGCUAGACUCAGGCUGGGGGUAGAAAGUCAUAAACGUCAAAGCUAUUUGUCAGCCUGCGUUCCUUGGAAUGGUGUAGAGGCCCCUGAAAGGGGAAAAAGUCACAAGGAAGUUCAUUUAAUUUUUUGAGCGCUGCAUUCUUCUUCAUAAAAGAUCUCUGAGGGUGAAGAAUCCAUUAGGGUUUAUGAAAACCACUGGUAAAAUCUGCUCUUUGCUGUGGUUUUGCCGGGAAGGAAUACUUCCCAAGAUGACAGAGACCAUAACUGCAUCUUCUUUUGGAAAGUGAAAAGCAGAUCGUGGCAAGGCUCAAGAAAACAGUGACCAUUUGGAUCCUGGAGAGAAGCCCAAUUGCUUCAUUAAAGAAGAGUUGUCACAUGCUUGUUUCUUAAAUCCUGCUAAAUACCUGCUUAGCAGCAUUAUUGACAGGCUUUUCUCAUGAACACUGAGCUGUUAAGCUGCUCCUAGUUUACAGCAAGAGGUUAAAGGAUUUUUCAAAGCUCCCAACGAAAGCCUUACUAACUGGAUUAACCGCUAACAUGGAUUUAAGCUUUGAGUCAGAUUAACCCCAGUUGCUCAGAGUAGGUUCCUCUUGUUCGUCCCUUCUUCCCUUUUUUUUCCCUCUUAGCUUUAACCUCUUUGUUUGUCAGGAAUAAUGGAAAUAAAAUAAUCUCCUGUGCUUGUGUUUGAGCAGGGGGGUCCCAGGGCUGCAGCUCCAGGACAUGAAAUGUGACUGAAAUAGCAGCAUCACAGCGCCGAGGACCUGCAGUUAAUCUCAUUUAGGCUGUACUUAAAUGUGUAUUUCUUCAGCAUCUGAGGAGGACUUUUGCAUUAUCUGCUCUCCUGCUUUUGGCUGAUUGUUUCUGCUAUUGUGCUGGUUUCUGAGCUAGGGUAUGCAUUUGUAAGCAGGCUGCAGUAGGACUAUCCACUGCCUCAUUUGAAGGUGCUUUUCCCCACUCACUGCUGUGCAAAGGCAAGGUCCCAGAGCUGCUUUCUGAAGCCAAAAUCUGUUUCAACUCAUUCCCCAGUAGCUGCAGUGCAGGAAUUUGUUAGGAAAUGCUAAGGGAUGGUGUGGGAAAGCAAUAGGCUGGAAGGAGCAGGGCACACCAAUGUAGGCUCUCUUGCCCGAUCACACUGGCGUGGAAUUGAUUCCCAGCCCAGAGGAGGGAUGAAGCCAGCACUUCCACUGCUUUCCUGUCAUCAGCUCACUGCACCGCUCAGCCCUCUCAAUCAUCUUUUCGUCCCAGCUCACGCAGGCCAUGCAGUGACCAUGAGAAGCUCAGCACGCUGGGGUCAGGACGAGGAGUCGCAGUGCUUGGUUGUUCUGGGCAGUGAGCCUUUAGCUGAGGCACUCACAGCCCCCAUCAGUGCUGGCGUGUCCCCGGGCAGAGCUGUCUCUUGCUCUGCUCCGUGGCUAUCCCCCUCUCACACUGUUUCAACUCAUGGAGCUGACCCUAUUUUCUCCUUCUCCUUGAACGCUGAUCAGCUUUCCUGUGCUUUUUUGUGCACGCUUCUUAGUCUCUCAUCCUUUGACUCCCUCCCAGCUGCCAUUAUCCCAGCCUAAUCCAUUUUUACCUGAAUUGCUGGCCCUCAUUUCAUUUCUGAUUUCCCCUCCACCUCCUAACCCCCACCACGCAUCUCUCUAAUCUCCCAGCCCACCAUCUCCCCUCCAUCCCAGGGGGGCAGCUCCUCCUCCUCUCCCCCCCAGCAUACCAGGCACCUUGCUGUGCCCCAAAGCUCUCAGCUGCUCAGCAUCAGCCUGGUCCUGGCUCGUUGCUGCCAGGUGAUUCCCUCACAGAUUUCCUUUACUGAUUUCCUCCCAGCCCUCACUAGGCAUCCCUUAGGGGAACCCCUGUCACUCAUUCUGUGCAUUCCAUCAGCAAAUACCGAUUUCUUCAAAGCGAUCACUGCAGGUGUGUGACACAGUUAACGCUGUCACCCAGAGGCACUGCAGGACCUUUUUCAAAGGUAUGAGCUGCCAGCAUUGCCUGUCUGUCUCUGGCAGGGAUUGCUCUCAACACACACAGGGAUUUCCCCGGGAACCUUGCAAGCCUGGGCACAACCAUGCUGGGAGGAAGCAUGUUUCGGCAGCACUAGUGGACUUACAGAUACACUUGGGAGCCAUCCAUGCCCUGCCUUUCCCCCUUGGACAUCCGAACUGUUAUUUGUGGGAUUCCUUAUGGUUUGACAUUUGGCAUUUUACAGCACGUGUCUGUCAUAUCCCUUUUAUAUCAGAUGAUAAAAAUGAGGAUUCCUAGCGCUAUGGCCUGCAGUGAGACUGGCUGAAGAAAAGGGAGAAAAUAAAAUUAAAAUCUAUCAAAUAAAAAGACCGGAAGGAAGGAAAGCAGUUAUGGGGCGUGAAGGAAAGUCACCCUCUUGGAUUUAGUGCGGUGGUUGGGAAGCGUUAUGGGCAGAUGCUCAGGAGUGUGGCAAGAUGCUGCCUUAACUAUUAACCUAGUGCUUCCCUCUCUGUCUCUUUUCUGGGGUAUAAACUCACCAGCUCCAUGGAGAGAGGCUGUAAUCUGGUUCUUUGUUUCUGUUCUUACAGAUACUCCAGGGCUCAUCUGAGCUCUCACCUGCCCUCUCCAAGGGAAGCAUGGGGCAGAGCUGUGUGACCUGAAAUGGGCUGUGCCCAUCUCUCUUGUGAGUCAAGCACUCAUUUGCAUAAGCAGAUGUUGUGCCAUCAUACCCCAGGUCUCAGUUGUGCCUGUAGGAUGGAGCCUACGAACUUGGAACAGGACUGACUGGCUUGUGGGGCCAGUUUUCUUUUAGUCUGCUUCCCCGAAGGUGGUUUAAAUUAGUGCUUUAUUGUUUUGGAUGUUUGUUGAAGCUCCUCGGUGAACUUCAUUGAGGGGUGGGAGAGAUGAAGGAGUGAGGGUCUAUGAAGUUGUCUCCAGUGUGAACAAAGAAGAAAACGUAAACAUGAAGCAUUUGUGGCUGCAAAUACAGAGCUCUGCCUUGAGAGUGUACUGGGAUCUGAGUCUUCAUUGCCUUCCUUGAGCCACCUCCUGAGCUGAAAUAUUUCCUCACCUCUCCCUUCAUGCUGCAGGAUCCCCGGAGGUUUGUCAUAAAACAUCCUCAUUGGUGACCCCCAAGAAAAAGAGAAUUGCCCAAACACAGAGAAAAGGACAUUGUGACUUCACCUGCUUGAAGGACACCUGUGUUCGCUGCACUUGGAAGCUGACAUAAACAAGCUGUAAACACCUGGAAACCCAAGCAGCGUCAGCAAAGCACAGUGCUGUUCUUGUGCUCAUCAGCCCAUAAGAGAAGCUGACUGAAGAUUGUGGUGACUGCACCACAACUGCCCCAGCACAUUUAACUUCAAGAUAGAGUCAGCUGUUUUGUCAGCACCUCUGCAUUCUUGCAGUAACCUGAAUUGUGCUUAAGUGGGCAAAUAAAGGGAAUAAGGUGUGGGCCCUGUCUCACCCCACUGUCCAAGAAGACUGUUAAUGUUGAGGAUUGUCUCUAGAAGCCACGUCCAGAAAGUGUUUCUGCUCCUUUUGCCGAGGAACGAAGGCUGUGCAUCACAAACCAGGACAGUAAGGAGUAACCAGCCUACCUGGCAGCAAUCAGAAACGUCCCUGAUGGUUUCCUUUGUCCAAGAGCAGCUAAUCACGUGCUGAAAUUCCUAUAAUGCAGGGGGGGAUAGGAAUGCACGGCACAAGGACAGCUCACGACCUGAGAAACAGGAUAUACACAAAUGGUAUGAAAAACAGCACAUUCAAGCCAAAAAGAGGGCAGAAAAGAGGACUGCAGAAGGGACCAGAAUACUUAACAGUCAGCAAAGCGAACAGGUAACUUGAUCUGGGAGGAAAUGUUGCGGGUCCUUGGGGAAGCCGAGUUGUGCGUUAUUAGCCAAGUUCAUUCGCAUUCAAGAAAACCCUCAGCCUGUAUUAUUUCCCUAGCACCAAGCCAACUAACAGAAACUGUGAGUUUGUAUGUGUUUAAAUAAACAAAACUAUAUCUCCAGGUGCCUGCGUUGGUGUUUUAUUUCCUUCCUCACAGAAAGGCUGGGAAGUGCUUCUACUUCCCAAAACCACGACACUCUUCUGAGAUUUUGCUGCAGUUGCUCAGCACUA